GGGGGAUAUUGCACAAUGGGGGAAACCCUGAUGCAGCGACGCCGCGUGGAGGAAGAAGGUUUUCGGAUUGUAAACUCCUGUCGUUAGGGACGAUAAUGACGGUACCUAACAAGAAAGCACCGGCUAACUACGUGCCAGCAGCCGCGGUAAAACGUAGGGUGCAAGCGUUGUCCGGAAUUACUGGGUGUAAAGGGAGCGCAGGCGGGAAGACAAGUUGGAAGUGAAAACCAUGGGCUCAACCCAUGAAUUGCUUUCAAAACUGUUUUUCUUGAGUAGUGCAGAGGUAGAUGGAAUUCCCGGUGUAGCGGUGGAAUGCGUAGAUAUCGGUAGGAACACCAGUGGCGAAGGCGGUCUACUGGGCACCAACUGACGCUGAGGCUCGAAAGCAUGGGUAGCAAACAGGAUUAGAUACCCUGGUAGUCCAUGCCGUAAACGAUGAUUACUAGGUGUUGGGGGAUUGACCCCCUCAGUGCCGCAGUUAACACAAUAAGUAAUCCACCUGGGGAGUACGACCGCAAGGUUGAAACUCAAAGGAAUUGACGGGGGCCCGCACAAGCAGUGGAGUAUGUGGUUUAAUUCGAAGCAACGCGAAGAACCUUACCAGGUCCUGACAUCCGAUGCAUAGCACAGAGAUGUGUGAAAUCCUUCGGGACAUCGAGACAGGUGGUGCAUGGUUGUCGUCAGCUCGUGUCGUGAGAUGUUGGGUUAAGUCCCGCAACGAGCGCAACCCUUAUUGCCAGUUACUACGUUAAGAGGACUCUGGCGAGACUGCCGUUGACAAAACGGAGGAAGGUGGGGAUGACGUCAAAUCAUCAUGCCCUUUAUGACCUGGGCUACACACGUACUACAAUGGCGUUAAACAAAGAGAAGCAAGACCGCGAGGUGGAGCAAAACUCAAAAACAACGUCUCAGUUCAGAUUGCAGGCUGCAACUCGCCUGCAUGAAGUCGGAAUUGCUAGUAAUCGCGGAUCAGCAUGCCGCGGUGAAUACGUUCCCG
rnacentral:rRNA from 1 species